rnacentral:rRNA from 1 species
CUCUCGGCAACGGAUAUCUCGGCUCACGCAUCGAUGAAGAACGUAGCAAAAUGCGAUACUUGGUGUGAAUUGCAGAAUCCCGUGAACCAUCGAGUUUUUGAACGCAAGUUGCGCCCGAAGCCAUUUGGUUGAGGGCACGUCUGCCUGGGCGUCACACAUCGUGU